rnacentral:rRNA from 1 species
UACGUAGGGUGCAAGCGUUGUCCGGAAUUAUUGGGCGUAAAGAGCUCGUAGGCGGUUUGUCGCGUCUGCUGUGAAAACUCGGGGCUUAACUCCGGGCCUGCAGUGGGUACGGGCAGACUAGAGUGCGGUAGGGGAGACUGGAAUUCCUGGUGUAGCGGUGAAAUGCGCAGAUAUCAGAGGAACACCGGUGGCGAAGGCGGCCUUCUGGACAGUGACUGACGCUGAGAUGCGAAAGCGUGGGGAGCAAACAGG